ACCCGCUGAACUUAAGCAUAUCAAUAAGCGGAGGAAAAGAAACUAACAAGGAUUCCCCUAGUAACUGCGAGUGAAGCGGGAGAAGCUCAAAUUUAAAAUCUGAUGGUCUUUAUGGCCUUCCGAGUUGUAAUCUAGAGAAGUGCUAUCCGCGCUGGACCGUGUACAAGUCUCCUGGAACGGAGCGUCAUAGAGGGUGAGAAUCCCGUCUUUGCCACGGACUACCAGGGCUUAUGUGAUGCGCUCUCAAAGAGUCGAGUUGUUUGGGAAUGCAGCUCUAAAUGGGUGGUAAAUUCCAUCUAAAGCUAAAUAUUGGCGAGAGACCGAUAGCGAACAAGUACCGUGAGGGAAAGAUGAAAAGAACUUUGGAAAGAGAGUUAAACAGUACGUGAAAUUGUUGAAAGGGAAACGCUUGAAGUCAGUCGCGUUUACCAGGAAUCAGCCUUGCUUUUGCUUGGCGCACUUUCUGGUUAACGGGUCAGCAUCAAUUUUGAUCGGUGGAUAAAGGUCAGGAGAAGGUGGCAUCUUCGGAUGUGUUUAUAGCUCUUGGUCGCAUACAUCGGUUGGGAUUGAGGAACUCAGCACGCCGCAAGGCCGGGUGUUUACACCACGUUACGUGCUUAGGAUGUUGGCAUAAUGGCUUUAAUCGACCCGUCUUGAAACACGGACCAAGGAG
rnacentral:rRNA from 1 species